rnacentral:sRNA from 1 species
UCAUGUACCUAUUCCGAUUUAAAGGGUGA